ACAAAUAAUCAGGAGAAUUUAUUGCAUGUCUUGACAGAUAAUGAGUAAUGAACACUUACAGGGCUACACAAAUCCACAGACAUCUAGAUUAACCAUAUUGUGCAAUACCAUGAAAUUAACAACUGGAAUUAUGCAGGGAUCUAAUCAAGAAAGUACAAGGAUUCUUAAAAGGAGCUUUCCUCAAAUUUCUACAAGUACCGAGGUACAUUUAAUGAAUACAAAAAUAAUAAAAGUGACCAGAAAAGACUGGAGGUAUAUAGGUAGAAUGAUAUGUGUACCAGUCACACUAUUCACAAUAUAUAUUUCAGAUUUACAUUAACAUAUCACAAUAAGCCUAUCAAAACUAGGUAACAUGGGACAUUGUUGGUGGAGGUAAGUGCCGAUGCGGGCCUAAACUAUAGCCCACAGCGUGGGACUGUCACAGAGACUGGUUCACUGAUGACGUCUCCCUACACGUCUUCCUGCCGUGACUUUUUCCCAGGUAUUCAGGUGAGAAAUGAUUGAGUCCUAACCAAUCUCAGAUACACUGGGUUUUCCCAUUUUCUCUUUCAUCCAAAGUGUGUUCUGACCCUGUGAGUGUUGAGGGAUUGCAGGUAACCAGGUAUUUAUCACUGUAUUUCCCACCGCCAUUGCUGCCCCUAGGUUUUGUGGAGGUGUCCAGUUGUGAAAUGGUGGUUUUCUGCUGUCAGGGUCAACCUAGGAUUACUGCAAGUAUCCAGGUCUAGUGGUGUGUCCCAUAAAGCUGGAAGAACUCAAGGUUCUUUGCUGGAGUCCUGGUGGAAAACCCCGUGUCCUUCUACAUAUAUAUCUUCGUGCCUAUUUCAGCCCCCUACCAUGACAUCACAAUGAAUAUGAUACAGGUCUGGAGGUCAGCACUGAUGAGGGCUGAAAGCAAUACAUGGGCCACGUGAGGUUCAGCUGUCUAGGAAAGUGAUGAUGGUGUCCAUCCUUCCUGUUGUUCCCAAGAUUUCGCUUCAGUAGUCCUAGGAAAUAAUGGUGUCCUGUAGAGAGAAAUGCUGUCUUCUGGGAUCAUGGCCCUGAGCUUGGGGACACCGUCAGCAUACAGGUUCCCGGGAGGAAAUCCUAACUAACCAGAGACACGAUCAGGGGACCUGUCUGCUAUCUGGGAGAGAACGUAUGAGGUAUGAGGUAUGAGGUACCCUGUGAGUGCUGAUUGAUUGACAUGUGCCAGGGAACUCACGUGGCACUGUGCAUCACAGGAGUAACCGCGGUGGAUUUGCAGAGAAGCGGGCCAGAGAAAAUGGCAUGUCCUACAAUGGCCUAGACCUUGGAGGGCUUGCAAGCAUCCAGGUACAAUUUUGGCUCCCACAAUGAUGAUCGUGAGCAGGCGGUUUUCAGGGUCCUAGUGGAAAUGCUGUGUCCAUAGAUACAUUGGUCACAUAUGUGGUUUUAGGUUCCCUUGGAAAGGUCACAGGAAACCUCUUUGAGCAGAGGACUGUGCCUGUAUUUAGGUGGGUGACGGC